GGUUGAUCCUGCCAGUAGUUAUAUGCUUGUCUCAAAGACUAAGCCAUGCAUGUCUAAGUAUAAACCAAUUUAUACGGUGAAACUGCGAAUGGCUCAUUAUAUCAGUUAUUGUUUAUUUGAUGAUACCCUACCACUUGGAUAACCGUGGUAAUUCUAGAGCUAAUACAUGCACGAAAUCUCGACUCCUUCGGGGGAAGGGAUGUAUUUAUUAGAUAAAAGCCAGCCCGGCGUUUCGGCGUCGGUUUAGCCUGGUGAUUCAUGAUAACUUUGCGAAUCGCAUGACUUUUUGUCGG
rnacentral:rRNA from 1 species